rnacentral:lncRNA from 1 species
AAUCGAAGGUCAUGGAGAUCAUUACGUGUCAUGCAAUGGUGAAGAGGUUGGGUGAGAACGACACGUGUUGCACCAUUAUCGAGCAGGUAAAAUAGCCGCAAGGCUUAGGGGUGAGGGUGAGAAAAAUAUCGUAGAAAACGAGAGAGAAAAUGCCAUAGAAAUCAGUCGAGUGAGGAUCUCCGACACGGCAACAACUACUUUCUUCGUCGUAAUAUCAGUUCGCAAUCAUGGUUGAUAAUGGCGUUGGGUUGCUGUUGGGUGUUGUAUCGUUUAUGCCGAGCACGAGAGCGAUAAGGCGAUAGAAAUCCAUCGGGUGAGCAUCUCCGACACGUCAACUGCAUUCUUGGUGUUAUUUCCAGUAUUCAAUCACGGUAAACUAUGCCGUCGUGCUGCGCUACACACUACAACUGAUGCUGCUUCGAGCUACUAUACCGAAGUAUUAUUCUUCCUCGAGCUUCGCUACUAAAGCGCACGGGUGCUACACCAGCGAGUCUCCCGAGUACUACUCUGCUCCCAGCUACUAAACUGAGUCAAAAGUAACGGACUGAAGAUGCUAAAAGUUUUUGCUGAGGACGGUAGUAGGUCGAGUCCUCCCUAAAUACUUGAGCGAAUGGACAACCGAGAAGUUGAAUGCGGAAAGUGUUGAUGUGUUGCCCAAAGCUAAUGUUGAGGGUGCAAGCUUGGAAGACAACAAGGUCCCAUUGACCUUAAAACAAUGGUCGAAAGGUUUAAACUGACCAUGUUGUCGUUGCUGUCGGUUUGAACGCAAACACGGAUUUGGCUGUCGCUUUUGGUUUGGAAAUUGAUUCGAAUUUUGGUAGUUGUCGAGUCAAUGCCGAGUUUGAAGCAGAUCAAACGUCUGGUUGCCAAAGAUGCUGCCUGCUUUCAUGAUAUCAAAUUGGAUCGUCGUCGUGUGGAACAUCAUGACCACGCUGUUGUAUCAGAGCGAUUGGCUAGAGAGCAUAUGAUUGGCAAUGCAUGCAUGCAACAUGGGUGAAGGACUGCAGCGCAAUAUUUGUCACUAUCUGCAUUCUUCGUCGUAUUUUCAGUACGCAAUCAUGGUUAACUAUGGCGUCUUGCUGCUGUAUGUUGUAUCGUUGAUGGCUGGGUCAGCCAUUGGUGUACCGAUGUCUCCUGGGUAUUGCAGAUACCAAGCCGCAACGCCGCCGCCUUACUGCACAACAACACACGCAACAACCGGUUACCACACCACCAAGGCUGCAGAAUAUUAUACCACAACUUAUGAUGCCCCGAGCUACUACAUUGAAGCCCUGAAGUAUAACUCUGCCCCGAGUUGCCUCAACAAAGAGGCUGAGUACUACACCGAGGUUUCCAAGUACUACACCAU